rnacentral:rRNA from 1 species
GACGGGGGGGGCAAGUGUUCUUCGGAAUUACUGGGCGUAAAGCGUGCGCAGGCGGUUCUCCAAGUCCGUUGUGAAAGCCCCGGGCUCAACCUGGGAAUGGCAGUGGAAACUAGGGGACUGGAAUCUGGCAGAGGGGGGUGGAAUGCCGCGUGUAGCAGUGAAAUGCGUAGAGAUGCGGCGGAACACCGAUGGCGAAGGCAGCCCCCUGGGCUGAGAUUGACGCUCAGGCACGAAAGCGUGGGGAGCAAACAGG